GAGGGUUCUGGCCCGACCUCCAACCCUUUGUGAAUCAAACCUGUUGCUUCGGGGGCGACCCUGCCGUUCGCGGCGCGGCGCCCCCGGGGGAAAUCAAACACUGCGUCAAUUUGUGUCGGAGUACUUGUUAAUAAACAAAACUUUCAACAACGGAUCUCUUGGUUCUGGCAUCGAUGAAGAACGCAGCGAAAUGCGAUAAGUAAUGUGAAUUGCAGAAUUCAGUGAAUCAUCGAAUCUUUGAACGCACAUUGCGCCCCGUGGUAUUCCGCGGGGCAUGCCUGUUCGAGCGUCAUUUCACCACUCGAGUCUGACUCGGUAUUGGGCGUCGCGUUUCGAUGCGCGCCUUAAAGUUUCCGGCUGGACCGUCCGUCUCCGAGCGUUGUGGCAUCUGUCUCGCUAGGGAGCCGCGGAGGGCGUUGGCCGUUAAACACCCCAUCAAAGGUUGACCUCGGAUCAGGUAGGGAUACCCGCUGAACUUAAGCAUAUCAAUAAGCGGAGGAAA
rnacentral:rRNA from 1 species